rnacentral:rRNA from 1 species
UAGGGAAUCUUCCGCAAUGGACGCAAGUCUGACGGAGCAACGCCGCGUGAGUGAAGAAGGAUUUCGGUUCGUAAAACUCUGUUGUUAGAGAAGAACAGCGCAUAGAGUAACUGUUAUGCGUGUGACGGUAUCUAACCAGAAAGCCACGGCUUACUACGUGCCAGCAGCCGCGGUAAUACGUAGGUGGGAAGCGUUGUCCGGAUUUAUUGGGCGUAAAGCGAGCGCAGGCGGUCAAUUAAGUCUGCUGUGAAAGCCCCAGGCUCAACCGGGGAGGGUCAUUGGAAACUGGUUGACUUGAGUGCAGAAGGGGAGAGUGGAAUUCCAUGUGUAGCGGUGAAAUGCGUAGAUAUAUGGAGGAACACCGGUGGCGAAAGCGGCUCUCUGGUCUGUAACUGACGCUGAGGCUCGAAAGCGUGGGGAGCGAACAGG